CAAUGCGACAGGGGAAAGUAUAGGUAAUGUACCGAGUACCCAAAACACACAGCAGCGCAAGCCAGGUGCUGCAAACAAACGAUGUUGUGGUGGGUUCCGUCUCACGUUUCUGGGGUUAAGCGUCUGGGGACAGAUGCACAGACCUUGGAGAGGGAGAUGGGUCUGUAGCUCAGCUGGUUAGAGCGCACGCCUGAUAAGCGUGAGGUCGGGUGUUCGAGUCGCCUCAGACCCACAGGGCAGGUCUGAGGGGACGUAGCUCAGUUUGGGAGAGCGACGCCUUUGCACGGCGUAGGUCAGGGGUUCGAGUCCCCUCGUCUCCAUGGCGGUGAGCGCAAGAUGAAGGGUGCCAAGUUUGAGUAAAGUCAGACUUGACGCGGCAGCCAGAAGCAGGUAACAUCAGGGUCAACACAGUCAGUCAACCAAAGUGCGAGUGGCAAAGCAUAUGGUGGGUUUCAACAGGACAUAACUGAGCAACGGGCAACCCGGGACUGACACGCGGAGUGAAAUGCAGCGGCCUGGCAAUGCCAGGCUGUUUUUGUCUCUAGUGCCAGCACGUUUCUCAGGGAAAGCGCAACUCGGUCGGCGGCUGUGCAUCACCAAGGGUGGUGUCCAACGGCAGGCGGAGUUGACCGCCCUUCCCACCGGGCAGUGGUUACGACCAUUGCCGUGCAGCUUGACAACCACAUACUGCAGGAAAGCCGAAAGUAGUACGAAGUAACGCGCGUACGAGAGCAUCUUCUUCUCCGUAUCACAUGUUCAAAGCAGAUAAGGGCACACGGGGGAUGCCUUGGCGUCAAGUGCCGAUGAAGGACGUGGUACACUGCGAUAAGCUCCGGUAAGCCGUGUGCAGGCGCUGAGCUGGAGAUGU
rnacentral:misc_RNA from 1 species